UGUAUUUUAGAACAUUAUAUUAGGCAUUUGCAGCACGUAGCUGACAAGCAAAAUCAGGAGUCUAAAUAAAUAAAAUAUUUAUAUACGUACGGGCAUUCUGGCCCCUCUUCCCAGCACCCAGCAUAAAACGUCAGCCGGAACUGACAAGGACGUUUCCUAAAUGAUUCCUUCCUGGUUAUGUCAACAAGAAUUCACCGGUCUCCCUAAUUGCCAAGUAUUCAUCACACGUGCGUCCAUGCGACUAAACGUGACAGAUGGCGAACCAUUUAUGUACAAGGAGUUUAAUAGAAACAGGAAAAAAUAGGGAAAAAUAUAUCAUCGAAUUUGAAAGCGUAAUGCAUUUUUCUUGUUUAAUAUUGGGUAAGACUUAGGACAAAGAGGGAACAUGAAAUGAAAACGGAUGGCUAGCAAAGUGGAAAGAUUUUGGCCCAGUUGCCUGCCAGAAAAGCAAAAUGAAGCGAAUGUGGCGAUAGGAAGCUCCUAGAGAAGAUUGCUCCUGCUAGCAUUUAGAUAACUUGGCAAGUAUCCUAAAGCAAACAUUGAAUUAUGGGCAACGACUGCUUUUUGGUAAAACUGUCUAAGACCUUCGGACGAUUUAUCGCAAAAUGUAGGCAAUAUAUUUGCCAUUAUCCGAUGAGCAGCUGGCCAAAUGCAUUCCUUUAAGGGUGUCGGGAAAAUAUUGACAGCAUGCUUGACUUGGAAUAAUCUGUCUCGUGGGAGCAGGCACUCGACCACUCGACUUAUUUGAAUCCAAGUAAGCGGCUUAUCCGGAAAACACCAAAUGGGAUGAUGUACAGCCAAGUGGAGCUCAUAAACAUUGCGGGCGUCGCACCAAAUCCAUUUGCAACCUUGUUUACGCUGCGUAUAGGUAACAAAUCAACGGAGCGAGGAACACGGAGCAGUACAGAGUGCAACCGCAAGCAAAAUGCCUGAUUGGCAACAUAAAUCUGAGAGGACAGGCAGCUCCACAGCAGCAGCCACAACACCUGCCCGCCUCUUUUUCGUUCCGCCCCAAUCCCGCUUGAAAACCCGACAGUUGGGAUGGCCGCAAAAUACGACCCCCCAAAAAACAACAGGAAAGGGGGCCGGCAUCGCAUACCAAAGCAUGGAAUACCCUCCCAGAUACACGAUACGGUGAUGUGGUUUAUGCCAAACCAAAAAGUAUGUAAGAAACAUUUCAAAACAUGACUUUGUUGGAGUUUCGCGGAAAAAAAUACCUAUAUAUGAAUGUAGUACCAAUAAUACCUAUAAUGGGCUUAACAAGAACCUAUUAUUUAUACUAACCAUUCUUAUGCAGCAACGAAAUGGUUACUCAUCUGUUAUAAUGGAAUUGAGAAAAAUGUAGCAAUCUAAAAAUAAAUUUAGGUACCAAAAGUUAAAAUCACACUUGUAAAUGGA
rnacentral:sRNA from 1 species